AUAUAUAUAUAUCGAUUCGCAGAUUUAACUAAAACCGACCGUUGGAGGGACCGUUUCUAGCUUCUAAUGUUUUCACUGUUUGUCAUCAGUUCCAUUACGUUGCUAUCACCAACUUAAACAGUGCCUCCAAGAAAAUCAAAUCAUUUUAACUCCACGCGCCUACAAACGCACGCUCCUGUCACGAAUUCUCGUAUUUGUCAUGCGGGGCCCAUUCAUCAGCUUAUUUGAUAUUUUUCUUAGGAAAGAUAUGGGUCGGAUCGAAUUAUUUGAACCGGAAAUAGAAAAUGUUUAAUUACCUGCAAAGGCCAUGAUAAGAUUGUUAAUUUGUUAUGAUAUCUUUUAAUUCUUGAACAAAUGUUCAAGUAUAAAUUUUUACUUGACAGUUAUCUUACAAAUUACAUUUAAUAAACUUAUCUUACCAUAACGACUAAAAAUAUGUACAUCUUUUAAUUUAGUCCAACU
rnacentral:lncRNA from 1 species